AUUGAACGCUGGCGGCAUGCCUAACACAUGCAAGUCGAACGAGAUCUUCGGGUCUAGUGGCGCACGGGUGCGUAACGCGUGGGAAUCUGCCCUUUGGUUCGGAAUAACAGUUGGAAACGACUGCUAAUACCGGAUGAUGACGAAAGUCCAAAGAUUUAUCGCCAGAGGAUGAGCCCGCGUAGGAUUAGCUAGUUGGUGUGGUAAAGGCGCACCAAGGCGACGAUCCUUAGCUGGUCUGAGAGGAUGAUCAGCCACACUGGGACUGAGACACGGCCCAGACUCCUACGGGAGGCAGCAGUGGGGAAUAUUGGACAAUGGGCGAAAGCCUGAUCCAGCAAUGCCGCGUGAGUGAUGAAGGCCUUAGGGUUGUAAAGCUCUUUUACCCGGGAUGAUAAUGACAGUACCGGGAGAAUAAGCUCCGGCUAACUCCGUGCCAGCCGCCGCUGUAA
rnacentral:rRNA from 1 species